CACGUAGGGCGCAAGCGUUGUCCGGAAUUAUUGGGCGUAAAGAGCUCGUAGGUGGUUUGUUACGUCUGCUGUGAAAACCUAGGGCUUAACCCUGGGCUUGCAGUGGAUACGGGCAGACUAGAGGUAGGUAGGGGAGAAUGGAAUUCCUGGUGUAGCGGUGAAAUGCGCAGAUAUCAGGAGGAACACCGGUGGCGAAGGCGGUUCUCUGGGCCUUACCUGACACUGAGGAGCGAAAGCGUGGGGAGCAAACGGG
rnacentral:rRNA from 1 species